rnacentral:rRNA from 1 species
AACGCGAAGAACCUUACCUACCCUUGACAUACAGAGAACUUUCUAGAGAUAGAUUGGUGCCUUCGGGAACUCUGAUACAGGUGCUGCAUGGCUGUCGUCAGCUCGUGUCGUGAGAUGUUGGGUUAAGUCCCGUAACGAGCGCAACCCUUAUCCUUAGUUGCUACCAUUUAGUUGGGCACUCUAAGGAGACUGCCGGUGAUAAACCGGAGGAAGGUGGGGACGAGGUCAAGUCAUCAUGGCCCUUAUGGGUAGGGCUACACACGUGCUACAAUGGCCGGUACAGAGGGCCGCAAACUCGCGAGAGUAAGCUAAUCCCUUAAAGCCGGUCCUAGUCCGGAUUGCAGUCUGCAACUCGACUGCAUGAAGCUGGAAUCGCUAGUAAUCGCGGAUCAGAAUGCCGCGGUGAAUUCGUUCCCGGGUCUUGUACACACCG